UACAAGUGAAUAAGCUGCUUGUGUCAUAGCAACGCCACAGAAGUCUUUGUAGGUAAAGUCUUUAUAGGAGGCGUUGGUCAUAGUUGUGUGUUGUGCGCGUUCCUUUGCUAAAAGUAGGGUGCUGUCCAUGCUUUUGCUGGUCCUUGACCCAAUGUCGGAAUCAACGGUGUUUGCGAUAGCUUACGCGCCGUCAUACCCAGUGAUGGGGUUAGUGAUGCCGACAUUCUGUUACCGUGCGGGCUGAGUGGUCAAAGUGUAAUUGCUCUGCACAUUUCUGACUUCCCACUUGCGAUGCCACUGACCAAUAGAGAGUUUUAGUAUGACUGUGUGGAGUGCAGUCGUGUGCCAUUUAGAGGAUAGUUGUUGUGGCCUCAAAUAUUUAUUGUAACGCAGGUAAUGGCAAAAGAAUGCGCUGUCUCGAUUCGUCUUCCUUACCCGUGUACAGCGUUGCAAUUUUGUUAUAAUAAUAUCGCGCAAACGUCGACCGCACGGCGUGACAGUAUCCGCGGGCGCGCAAGACUAUUUCGAGUUCGGAUUCUGCUGCGCUUCAGGAGGGCCUCUCGCCGUUACAAGGCCGCUGACACUCUGUGCGGUCGACGUUUGCGCGAUAUUUAAAAAUUUCAAGGGCUACAGUUGCGCUACAGUUGUGGUUGCGCCAGUGCCCUUCUCCUUUUGUUCCCUUCUAAAAUGCAUGGGCCUCGUCACUUUUAGAGCCAUAAGUCAUUGCGGCGGACACUGAGAGAACAGUGCAUUGUUUUUCAUGUACUGCACUGCUGCCACAAAGAGUUCCCCAAUUUGCGCUUAGACUAUAUAUGCAGCAAGUAUACACAGGCGUUUUUGACAGUGAUAUCGAAAUUAUAUUGCCCUCUGCUGAUCUUACUUUGCUAUUGAUCCUUCUGCACAACUAUGUAUUAUUUCUAAUGUAUGUAAUAAACUUGAAUUGAAUUAAUGUAGUAUUGUUGAAGGAAACUCAAUCUAGAGCGUGGUAAGAAUGAAUUGCAGCUUGCAGUUGUAUUAUUGUGCUCUCACCUGUGUGUGUGUUUUGAAAUAUUGACUGAUUGGGAGGCAAAAAAACAUGCUGCCCGUAACAGCAUGUUGCUCAAUCAGCUUUCAGAAGUCAUGGAAGUAUCGUUUCUUCCUGAUCAAGGAAGCUCAGUUUACUGAAUUUUCUUCUCCACUAUUCAUUGGAUAUUUUUAAGAUAGCAUUCUUGCCGAACUAAAACACAUCAUUGAAUCUGCAACCCUGACCAGGACACAGCAUGACCGGGACAAAGACAACUCACUUGGGACUCGCACUGUUUUUGUGUUCUGUCUUUGCCCCAUCUGUGAGUGCAUAUUAGG
rnacentral:lncRNA from 1 species